rnacentral:rRNA from 1 species
UUCCGGUUGAUCCCGCCGGACCUGACUGCUAUCGGAUUGAUACUAAGCCAUGCGAGUCAUUGUAGCAAUACAAGGCAGACGGCUCAGUAACGCGUAGUCAACCUACCCUAUGGACGGGAAUAACCUCGGGAAACUGAGUAUAAUGCCCGAUAGAACACUAUACCUGGAAUGGUUUGUGUUUCAAAUGAUUUAUUGCCGUAGGAUGGGACUGCGGCCUAUCAGUUUGUUGGUGAGGUAAUGGCCCACCAAGACUAUUACAGGUACGGGCUCUGAGAGGAGUGGCCCGGAGAUGGGUACUGAGACACGGACCCAGGCCCUAUGGGGCGCAGCAGGCGAGAAAACUUUGCAAUGUGUGAAAGCACGACAAGGUUAAUCCGAGUGGUUUCUGCUAAAGGAACCUUUUGACAGUCCUAGAAACACUGUUGAAUAAGGGGUGGGCAAGUUCUGGUGUCAGCCGCCGCGGUAAAACCAGCACCUCAAGUGGUCAGGAUGAUUAUUGGGCCUAAAGCAUCCGUAGCCGGCUCAGUAAGUUUUCGGUUAAAUCUGUACGCUCAACGUACAGGCUGCCGGGAAUACUGCAGAGCUAGGGAGUGGGAGAGGUAGACGGUACUCGGGAGGAAGUGGUAAAAUGCUUUGAUCUUUCGAUGACCACCUGUGGCGAAGGCGGUCUACCAGAACACGUCCGACGGUGAGGGA